UUACGGGAGGCAGCAGUGAGGAAUAUUGGGCAAUGGAGGCAACUCUGACCCAGCCAUGCCGCGUGAAGGAUGAAGGCCCUAUGGGUUGUAAACUUCUUUUGUAUGGGAAUAAACGCAGUUACGUGUAACUGUUUGAAUGUACCAUAAGAAUAAGCACCGGCUAACUCCGUGCCAGCAGCCGCGGUAAUACGGAGGGUGCAAGCGUUAUCCGGAUUUAUUGGGUUUAAAGGGAGCGUAGGCGGGAUUGUAAGUCAGUGGUGAAAGCCCGUAGCUCAACUACGGAACUGCCAUUGAUACUGCAGACCUAGAGUACACUUGAAGUGGGCGGAAUGUGUCAUGUAGCGGUGAAAUGCUUAGAUAUGACACAGAACACCGAUUGCGAAGGCAGCUCACUAAAUUGUAACUGACGCUGAGGCUCGAUAGCGUGGGGAUCAAACAGGAUUAGAUACCCUGGUAGG
rnacentral:rRNA from 1 species